CAGGGAGACAGCGCAAGAUAACUGAGCUUCACGUUGACGUCACGUGAUUAGCGACGUCGUUACUAACAGUUGUCUUCCCCACACCACAGACAGUGACAACCUAACGACGACGUCUGUCGAGAGAUAUUUAAACCAAGCGGUCUUCCAAUCACGAUGACUAAACAAACACGGUUGUACCUAGCUGUAGUCUGCUUGCUGCUUUUCAUAACACUGGAAGCCAGAGACAUCUACCACCACCAACAUCACCGUCUGGCUCAAAGGGAGUGCGCCGAGAUCGACGAGUCAUGCGAACACUUACCUUGUUGCUUAGCUAUAUAUCGUGAAUGCGUCCAAAGAAAAAUGACCGAGCGUAUUUGCCAGCCAAUUGCUAUUGAAUGACAGAGAAUACAAGCGGACUAAUGUCACCUGCUACAAAGACUAUUGGAUGCUGGAUGUACCAAAUAGUAUCAACAACAGGGAGCGUCUGCCUACUGUCCGAUUCUGGGAUGUCAAUGAAUAAUAGGAAGUCAUCGCACGAGUAUAAGAUCACCGAGUUCAAAGGUGUCUCUAAAUUGAUUGUAUUUCUAUGCAUUUAAAUGUUUUUUUUUUUAAUUCGAUUUCUAGAUUUCUCUGUUUGCUCCAGAAAUUCAGCGACAAAAUAAAUUCCAGAAAA